rnacentral:rRNA from 1 species
GUAACGAUGUCGACUUGGAGGUUGUGCCCUUGAGGCGUGGCUUCCGGAGCUAACGCGUUAAGUCGACCGCCUGGGGAGUACGGCCGCAAGGUUAAAACUCAAAUGAAUUGACGGGGGCCCGCACAAGCGGUGGAGCAUGUGGUUUAAUUCGAUGCAACGCGAAGAACCUUACCUACUCUUGACAUCCAGAGAACUUAGCAGAGAUGCUUUGGUGCCUUCGGGAACUCUGAGACAGGUGCUGCAUGGCUGUCGUCAGCUCGUGUUGUGAAAUGUUGGGUUAAGUCCCGCAACGAGCGCAACCCUUAUCCUUUGUUGCCAGCGGUUAGGCCGGGAACUCAAAGGAGACUGCCAGUGAUAAACUGGAGGAAGGUGGGGAUGAUGUCAAGUCAUCAUGGCCCUUACGAGUAGGGCUACACACGUGCUACAAUGGCAUAUACAAAGAGAAGCGACCUCGCGAGAGCAAGCGGACCUCAUAAAGUAUGUCGUAGUCCGGAUUGGAGUCUGCAACUCGACUCCAUGAAGUCGGAAUCGCUAGUAAUCGUGGAUCAGAAUGCCACGGUGAAUACGUUCCCGGGCCUUGUACACACCGCCCGUCACACCAUGGGAGUGGGUUGCAAAAGAAGUAGGUAGCUUAACCUUCGGGAGGGCGCUUACCACUUUGUGAUUCAUGACUGGGGUGAAGUCGUAACAAGGUAACCGUAGGGGAACCUGC